UAAGUCAGGCCUGGGAGGAACCCUGCCCAGCCUCAGGACCUCAGGGAACAGAAUCGAGGCACCUCCACCAUGGCCUGGACCCCUCUCCUCCUCGGCCUCCUCGCUCACUGCACAGGCUCCGUGGCCUCCUAUGUGCUCACUCUGCCCCCGUCAGUGUCAGUGAACCUGGGACAGACGGCCAGGAUCACGUGUGGAGGAAACAACAUUGGAAGUAAUUAUGCUUACUGGUACCAGCAGAAGUCAGGCCAGGCCCCUGUGCUGAUUAUCUAUGAGGACAGCAAACGACCCUCAGGGAUCCCUGACCGAUUCUCAGGCACCAACUCGGGGAACACGGCCACCCUGACCAUCAGCGGGGCCCGGGCCGAGGACGAGGCUGACUAUUACUGUCAAUGAAGGUACCAC